rnacentral:rRNA from 1 species
UACAGAGGGUGCAAGCGUUGUUCGGAAUUAUUGGGCGUAAAGGGCGCGUAGGCGGUGUUGUAAGUCUGCGGUGAAAUCUCCCGGCUCAACUGGGAGGCUGCCGUGGAAACUGCCGUGCUUGAGUGUGGGAGAGGUGAGUGGAAUUCCCGGUGUAGCGGUGAAAUGCGUAGAUAUCGGAAGGAACACCAGUGGCGAAAGCGGCUACCUGGUCCAGCACCGACGUUGAGGCACGAAAGCGUGGGGAGCAAACAGG